CCUACGGGAGGCAGCAGUAAGGAAUAUUGGUCAAUGGGCGCAAGCCUGAACCAGCCAUGCCGCGUGCAGGAUGACGGCCCUCUGGGUUGUAAACUGCUUUUAUACGGGAAGAACAGCAUCUACGUGUAGGUGUUUGACGGUACUGUAAGAAUAAGGACCGGCUAACUUCGUGCCAGCAGCCGCGGUAAUACGAAGGGUCCAAGCGUUAUCCGGAUUUAUUGGGUUUAAAGGGUGCGUAGGCGGCUUUUUAAGUCAGUGGUGAAAGCCUGAUGCUCAACAUCAGAACUGCCAUUGAUACUGAAGAGCUUGAGUACAGUUGAGGUUGGCGGAAUGUGUCAUGUAGCGGUGAAAUGCUUAGAUAUGACACAGAACACCGAUUGCGAAGGCAGCUAGCUAAGCUGUUACUGACGCUGAUGCACGAAAGCGUGGGGAGCAAACAGGAUUAGAUACCCUGGUAGUCCACGCCCUAAACGUUGAUAACUCGUUGUUAGCGAUAUACUGUUAGCGACCAAGCGAAAGCAUUAAGUUAUCCACCUGGGAAGUACGGUCGCAAGAUUGAAACCUUAAAGGAAUUGACGG
rnacentral:rRNA from 1 species